rnacentral:lncRNA from 10 species
GGAUAACAGGAAUCAAAAAGACAGACCAUAGCAAGGACUGAGAGGUUGCAGAGGAACUGGAACCUGCAUGCACUGUGGGUGGGAUUGGAACAGGGUGCAGCCACUCUAGAGAACAGUCUAAGCGUUCCUGAAAAAAUUGAACAUGGAAUUACCAUAUGCCCCGCCCGAGAGACAUGAGAACAAAGACCCGUAUGUUAAUGUUCACAGCAGUGUUAGAGCCGGGAAGUGGAGGCAGUCCAAAUGUCUAUCAGCUAUCAAACAAGAAAUAAAAUGUAGUCUGUUCGCACACAUGGAGCAUCAUACAGUCACAAAUGGCAGGAAGGAGCCACGUCUAUGAUGGCAUCGAGGCACCUUUGAAACCUUUUGCUCAGUGGAAGAAGGCAGGUGCAGAAGGCAACCUGCAUGCCUGUGUGAUUCCAUUGCCAUGACAUUUCCAGAGCAGACAGACCCAUGGAGACAGAGAGCAGAGCAGCAGGUACCAGGGUCUGAGGAGUGAUCCCCAGUAGGUAGAAGGUCAGGGGUGGUGGAGUGAUCCCCAGCAGGUAGAAGGUCAGGGGCUGAGGAGUGAUCCCCAGCAGGUAGAAGGUCAGGGGCGGAGGAGUGAUCCCCAGCAGGUAGAAGGUCAGGGGCUGAGGAGUGAUCCCCAGCAGGUAGAAGGUCAGGGGCUGAGGACUGAUCCCCAGCAGGUAGAAGGUCAGGGGCUGAGGAGUGAUCCCCAGCAGGUAGAAGGUCAGGGGCGGAGGAGUGAUCCCCAGCAGGUAGAAGGUCAGGGGUGGAGGAGUGAUCCCCAGCAGGUAGAAGGUCAGGGGUUGAGGAGUGAUCCCCAGCAGGUAGAAGGUCAGGGGUGGAGGAGUGAUCUCCAGCAGGUAGAAGGUCAGGGGUGGUGGAGUGAUCCCCAGCAGGUAGAAGGUCAGGGGCUGAGGAGUGAUCCCCAGCAGGUAGAAGGUCAGGGGCUGAGGAGUGAUCCCCAGCAGGUAGAAGGUCAGGGGCUGAGGACUGAUCCCCAGCAGGUAGAAGGUCA